AACGCGAAGAACCUUACCAGGUCUUGACAUCCCUCUGAAUAUCCUAGAGAUAGGGUAGGCUUUCGGGACAGAGGAGACAGGUGGUGCAUGGUUGUCGUCAGCUCGUGUCGUGAGAUGUUGGGUUAAGUCCCGCAACGAGCGCAACCCUUGAUCUUAGUUGCCAGCACGCAAGGUGGGCACUCUAAGAUGACUGCCGGUGACAAACCGGAGGAAGGUGGGGAUGACGUCAAAUCAUCAUGCCCCUUAUGACCUGGGCUACACACGUACUACAAUGGUCGAUACAACGGGAAGCGAAGCCGCGAGGCGGAGCCAAUCUUAUAAAGUCGAUCUCAGUUCGGAUUGCAGGCUGCAACUCGCCUGCAUGAAGUCGGAAUUGCUAGUAAUCGCGGAUCAGCAUGCCGCGGUGAAUACGUUCCCGGGCCUUGUACACACCGCUACAGU
rnacentral:rRNA from 1 species